rnacentral:rRNA from 1 species
UACGUAGGGCGCAAGCGUUGUCCGGAUUUAUUGGGCGUAAAGAGCUCGUAGGCGGUUUGUCGCGUCGGCCGUGAAAUCUCCACGCUUAACGUGGAGCGUGCGGUCGAUACGGGCAGACUUGAGUUCGGUAGGGGAGACUGGAAUUCCUGGUGUAGCGGUGAAAUGCGCAGAUAUCAGGAGGAACACCGGUGGCGAAGGCGGGUCUCUGGGCCGAUACUGACGCUGAGGAGCGAAAGCGUGGGGAGCGAACAGG